rnacentral:pre_miRNA from 1 species
AAAUUACUCCCUCCGUCUCAAAAAAUUUGUCUUAAAUUUGUCUAAAUACGGAUGUAUCAAGUCACGUUUUAGUAUUAGGUACAUCCGUAUCUAGACACGUACGGAGGGAGUAUAUG